rnacentral:rRNA from 1 species
CGCGGCCUAUCAGCUUGUUGGUGAGGUAAUGGCUCACCAAGGCGACGACGGGUAGCCGGCCUGAGAGGGUGACCGGCCACACUGGGACUGAGACACGGCCCAGACUCCUACGGGAGGCAGCAGUGGGGAAUAUUGCACAAUGGGCGAAAGCCUGAUGCAGCAACGCCGCGUGAGGGACGACGGCCUUCGGGUUGUAAACCUCUUUUGGCAGGGAAGAAGCGAAAGUGACGGUACCUGCAGAAAAAGCACCGGCUAACUACGUGCCAGCAGCCGCGGUAAUACGUAGGGUGCAAGCGUUGUCCGGAAUUAUUGGGCGUAAAGAGCUCGUAGGCGGUUUGUCGCGUCUGCUGUGAAAACGCGAGGCUCAACCUCGCGCCUGCAGUGGGUACGGGCAGACUAGAGUGUGGUAGGGGAGAUUGGAAUUCCUGGUGUAGCGGUGGAAUGCGCAGAUAUCAGGAGGAACACCGAUGGCGAAGGCAGAUCUCUGGGCCAUUACUGACGCUGAGGAGCGAAAGCGUGGGGAGCGAACAGGAUUAGAUACCCUGGUAGUCCACGCCGUAAACGUUGGGAACUAGAUGUGGGGUCCAUUCCACGGAUUCCGUGUCGCAGCUAACGCAUUAAGUUCCCCGCCUGGGGAGUACGG